CUGGAUUAGAGCCCUGGUGAGAAUC
rnacentral:tRNA from 1 species